rnacentral:rRNA from 1 species
GGCGAUCAGAUACCGCCCUAGUUCUGACCGUAAACGAUGCCAACUAGCGAUCCGCCGAUGGAGUUUCAUUGCCUUGGUGGGGAGCUUCCCGGAAACGAAAGUCUUCCGGUUCCGGGGGAAGUAUGGUUGCAAAGCUGAAACUUAAAGGAAUUGACGGAAGGGCACCACCAGGAGUGGAGCCUGCGGCUUAAUUUGACUCAACACGGGGAAACUCACCCGGCCCGGACACUGUGAGGAUUGACAGAUUGAUAGCUUUUUCAUGAUUCAGUGGAUGGUGGUGCAUGGCCGUUCUUAGUUCGUGGAGUGAUUUGUCUGGUUUAUUCCGAUAACGAGCGAGACUCUAACCUACUAAAUAGCUGAUGCAUAUUUAAGUGCUUUCGGCUUCUUAGAGGGAUUUGCGGCUUUCAGCCGAAAGAAAUUGAGCAAUAACAGGUCUGUGAUGCCCUUAGAUGUCCGGGGCUGCACGCGCGCUACACUGGCAAAAUCAACGUGCUUGUCCUACCCCGAAAGGGGCGGGUAAACCAUUGAAAAUUUGCCGUGAUUGGGAUCGGAAAUUGCAAUUAUUUUCUGUGAACGAGGAAUUCCAAGUAAGUGCGAGUCAUCAGCUCGCGUUGAUUACGUCCCUGCCCUUUGUA